GUCCAAAAACUGCUUUGGGCCUGGCCUUCAAAUUGCUAGAGGAAGACUUACGAGAUUGAGGUGUGGUCCUAUGACCCUAAGGCAAAUUCUUGUUGGAUGACUAAUACCUAGCAGAGAGCUCUGCAUUGCUUAUCUUCAACAAAACUAUUGAAAACAAGCAUAUAGUACAAAAGAAAUAAAAUCUAAGAAAAAGAUGCAGAGGGGGCAAGUUGGUACCCAAUCUAAGGUCACAGACAAGGAUAAAAACAAAAGAAACCAAACAACCUAGCUAAUAAAUAAUUUUGAGGAUAAUACUGAUGCUAUCGAAGAAAUUUGAAGGCCUGCUAGAGA
rnacentral:lncRNA from 1 species